AUUGAGCGCUGGCGGCAUGCUUUACACAUGCAAGUCGAACGGCAGCGCGGGCUUCGGCCUGGCGGCGAGUGGCGGACGGGUGAGUAAUACAUCGGAACGUGCCCAGUAGUGGGGGAUAGCUCGGCGACAGCCGGAUUAAUACCGCAUACGACCAGAGGGUGAAAGCGGGGGAUCUUCGGACCUCGCGCUAUUGGAGGGGCCGAUGGCAGAUUAGCUAGUUGGUGGGGUAAAGGCCUACCAAGGCGACGAUCUGUAGCUGGUCUGAGAGGACGACCAGCCACACUGGGACUGAGACACGGCCCAGACUCCUACGGGAGGCAGCAGUGGGGAAUUUUGGACAAUGGGCGAAAGCCUGAUCCAGCAAUGCCGCGUGUGUGAUGAAGGCCUUCGGGUUGUAAAGCACUUUUGGCGGGAACGAAAAGGACUGUGCCAACACCACGGUUUGAUGACGGUACCCGCAGAAUAAGCACCGGCUAACUACGUG
rnacentral:rRNA from 1 species